rnacentral:sRNA from 1 species
GAGGGGGUCCCUUGUUAAGCAGUUUCUACACUACCAAGUAGAGCCAAGAGAUAGCAAUGAAUUCUAUGGAAACACGGGAGUACUAGAAUUUAAACCUGGAGAAAGGGAGAUAGUGAUCACCCUGCUAGCAAGAUUGGAUGGGAUACCAGAGUUGGAUGAACACUACUGGGUGGUCCUCAGCAGCCACGGAGAACGGGAAAGCAAGUUGGGAAGUGCCACCAUUGUCAAUAUAACGAUUCUGAAAAAUGAUGAUCCUCAUGGCAUUAUAGAAUUUGUUUCUGAUGGUCUAAUUGUGAUGAUAAAUGAAAGCAAAGGAGAUGCUAUCUGUAGUGCUGUUUAUGAUGUAGUAAGAAAUCGAGGCAACUUUGGUGAUGUUAGUGUAUCAUGGGUGGUUAGUCCAGACUUUACACAAGAUGUAUUUCCUGUACAAGGGACUGUUGUCUUUGGAGAUCAGGAAUUUUCAAAAAAUAUCACCAUUUACUCCCUUCCAGAUGAGAUUCCAGAAGAAAUGGAAGAAUUUACCGUUAUCCUACUGAAUGCCACUGGAGGAGCUGAAGUGGGAAAUAGAACAACUGCAACUCUGAGGAUUAGAAGAAAUGAUGACCCUAUUUAUUUUGCAGAACCUCGUGUAGUGAGGGUUCAGGAAGGUGAGACUGCCAACUUUACAGUUCUCAGAAAUGGAUCUGUUGAUGUGACUUGCAUGGUCCAGUAUGCUACCAAGGAUGGGAAGGCUACUGCAAGAGAGAGAGAUUUCAUUCCUGUUGAAAAAGGAGAAACGCUCAUUUUUGAGGUUGGAAGUAGAGAGCAGAGCAUAUCCAUAUUUGUUAAUGAAGAUGGUAUCCCAGAAACAGAUGAGCCCUUUUAUAUAAUCCUCUUUAAUUCAACAGGUGAUACAGUAGUAUAUCAAUAUGGAGUAGCUACAGUAAUAAUUGAAGCUAAUGAUGACCCAAACGGCAUUUUUUCUCUGGAGCCCAUAGACAAAGCAGUGGAAGAAGGAAAGACUAAUGCAUUUUGGAUUUUGAGGCACCGAGGAUACUUUGGUAGUGUUUCUGUAUCUUGGCAGCUCUUUCAGAAUGAUUCUGCUUUGCAGCCUGGACAGGAGUUCUAUGAAACUUCAGGAACUGUUAACUUCAUGGAUGGAGAAGAAGCAAAACCAAUCAUUCUCCAUGCUUUUCCAGAUAAAAUUCCUGAAUUCAAUGAAUUUUAUUUUCUAAAACUUGUAAACAUUUCAGGCGGAUCCCCAGGUCCUGGGGGCCAGCUAGCAGAAACCAACCUCCAGGUGACAGUAAUGAUUCCAUUCAAUGAUGAUCCCUUUGGAGUUUUCAUCUUGGAUCCAGAGUGUUUAGAGAGAGAAGUGGCAGAAGAUGUCCUCUCUGAAGAUGAUAUGUCUUAUAUUACCAACUUCACUAUUUUGAGGCAGCAGGGUGUGUUUGGUGAUGUACGACUAGGCUGGGAAAUACUGUCCAGUGAGUUCCCUGCUGGUUUGCCACCAAUGAUAGAUUUUUUACUGGUUGGAAUUUUCCCCACCACUGUGCAUUUACAACAGCACAUGCGGCGUCACCAUAGUGGAACGGAUGCUUUGUACUUCACCGGACUAGAGGGUGCAUUUGGGACUGUUAAUCCAAAAUACCAUCCCUCCAGGAAUAAUACAAUUGCCAACUUUACAUUCUCAGCUUGGGUAAUGCCCAAUGUCAAUACGAAUGGAUUCAUUAUAGCGAAGGAUGACGGUAAUGGAAGCAUCUACUAUGGGGUGAAAAUACAAACAAACGAAUCCCAUGUGACACUUUCCCUUCAUUAUAAAACCUUGGGUUCCAAUGCUACAUACAUUGCCAAGACAACAGUCAUGAAAUAUUUAGAAGAAAGUGUUUGGCUUCAUCUACUAAUUAUCCUGGAGGAUGGUAUAAUUGAAUUCUACCUGGAUGGAAAUGCAAUGCCCAGGGGAAUCAAGAGUCUGAAAGGAGAAGCCAUUACUGACGGUCCUGGAAUACUGAGAAUUGGAGCAGGGAUAAAUGGCAAUGACAGAUUUACAGGUCUGAUGCAGGAUGUGAGGUCCUAUGAGCGGAAACUGACGCUUGAAGAAAUUUAUGAACUUCAUGCUAUGCCUGCAAAAAGUGAUUUACACCCCAUUUCUGGAUAUCUGGAGUUCAGACAGGGAGAAACUAACAAAUCAUUCAUUAUUUCUGCAAGAGAUGACAAUGACGAGGAAGGAGAAGAAUUAUUCAUUCUUAAACUAGUUUCUGUUUAUGGAGGAGCUCAUAUUUCAGAAGAAAAUACUACUGCAAGGUUAACAAUACAAAAAAGUGACAAUGCAAAUGGCUUGUUUGGUUUCACAGGAGCUUGUAUACCAGAGAUUGCAGAGGAGGGAUCAACCAUUUCUUGUGUGGUUGAGAGAACCAGAGGAGCUCUGGAUUAUGUGCAUGUUUUUUACACCAUUUCACAGAUUGAAACUGAUGGCAUUAAUUACCUUGUUGAUGACUUUGCUAAUGCCAGUGGAACUGUUACAUUCCUUCCUUGGCAGAGAUCAGAGGUUCUGAAUAUAUAUGUUCUUGAUGAUGAUAUUCCUGAACUUAAUGAGUAUUUCCGUGUGACAUUGGUUUCUGCAAUUCCUGGAGAUGGGAAGCUAGGCUCAACUCCUACCAGUGGUGCAAGCAUAGAUCCUGAAAAGGAAACGACUGAUAUCACCAUCAAAGCUAGUGAUCAUCCAUAUGGUAACCUGCUCCUUUUGCAAGAAAAAUUCUCUCUUCUCUGGGUGUACUUAGUUUUGUUAAGAACUUCUUAAGGCACUUUUUGCAAAUGACGGAAGUAGAAUGCCUUCAGACCUCCUAAUUUCUAAACUCUAACUUGUAUGCUACUGUUUUGAGAGACAUUAUUUAUGAGAGAAAAUAUAAAGAUCAGUUUCCAAACUUCAAUAAUAUAUUUUGAAAAGUUUUUGCAGGAUUAUUUAAAAUGGAACAAAGUAUUUCUGUUCAUAGCUAUCAAAUUUCUUUAGUUUAAUAAUUAUCCUAUGGUGAUUUGUUAACACCUAAGUAAUUGAAAUACUUUGUAAUUUAUAUUUUAUUAAGCUUCAAGAAGUGAAGCUAUCACUCUAUAUUAAUUUCUUUUUGUCUUAUGCUU